GUGUCAGCAGCCGCGGUAAUACAGAGGUCUCGAGCGUUAGUCGGAUUCAUUGGGCUUAAAGCGUACGUAGGCGGAUAUGCAGGCGUCGUGUGAAAGCCCUCGGCUCAACCGAGGAAUUGCACGGCGAACCGCAUGUCUUGAGAUCGGUAGGGGCGGUCGGAACGAUAGGUGGAGUGGUGAAAUGCGUUGAUAUCUAUCGGAACGCCGAAGGUGAAAACAGGCCGCUGGGCCGAUUCUGACGCUGAGGUACGAAAGCGUGGGGAGCAAACGGGAUUAGAUACCCCCGUAGUCC
rnacentral:rRNA from 1 species